ACCGACACCUCGGGGUGCCCGUGUGCAACACGGCUGAGAUGCGAAAGCGGACCCGUUGAACCUGAACCGGCUAACACCGGCGGAGGGAAGGUAUCAGCGAUCACC
rnacentral:ncRNA from 2 species